GCAUAGUGUAGUGUUGGGAGGGCAUAGUGUUGGGAGGGCAUAGUGUAGUGUUGGGAGGGCAUAGUGUAGUGUUGGGAGGGCAUAGUGUAGGGAGGGCAUAGUGUAGUGAGGGCAUAGUGUAGGGAGGGGAUAGUGUUGGGAGGGCAUAGUGUAGUGUUGGGAGGGCAUAGUGUAGUGUUGGGAGGGCAUAGUGUAGUGUUGGGAGGGCAUAGUGUAGUGUUGGGAGGGAAUAGUGUUGGGAGGGCAUAGUGUUGGGAGGGCAUAGUGUAGUGUUGGGAGGGCAUAGUGUUGGGAGGGCAUAGUGUAGGGAGGGCAUAGUGUUGGGAGGGCAUAGUGUAUGGAGGGCACAGUGUAGUGUUGGGAGGGCAUAUUAGUGUUGGGAGGGCAUAGUGUAGGGAGGGCAUAGUGUAGGGAGGGCAUAGUGUUGGGAGGGCAUAGUGUUGGGAGGGCAUAGUGUAGUGUAGGGAGGGCAUAGUGUAGGGAGGGCAUAGUGUAGUGUUGGGAGGGCAUAGUGUAGUGUUGGGAGGGCAUAGUGUAGGGAGGGCAUAGUGUAGUGUUGGGAGGGCAUAGUGUAGGGAGGGCAUAGUGUUGGGAGGGCAUAGUGUUGGGAGGGCAUAGUGUAGUGUAGGGAGGGCAUAGUGUUGGGAGGGCAUAGUGUUGGGAGGGCAUAGUGUAGUGUUGGGAGGGCAUAGUGUAGGGAGGGCAUAGUGUAGUGUUGGGAGUGCAUAGUGUUGGGAGGGCAUAGUGUUGGGAGGGCAUAGUGUAGUGUAGGGAGGGCAUAGUGUAGGGAGGGCAUAGUGUUGGGAGGGCAUAGUGUAGUGUAGGGAGGGCAUAGUGUUGGGAGGGCAUAGUGUUGGGAGGGCAUAGUGUAGUGUUGGGAGGGGCAUAUGUUGGGAGGGCAUAGUGUAGGGAGGGCAUAGUGUAGUGAGGGCAUAGUGUAGGGAGGGCAUAGUGUAGGGAGGGCAUAGUGUAGGGAGGGCAUAGUGUAGGGAGGGCAUAG
rnacentral:lncRNA from 1 species